rnacentral:tRNA from 1 species
GCGAAAGUGGCGGAAUUGGUAGACGCGCUGGACUUAGAAUCCAGUGGGAAAAUUCCUGUAGGGGUUCGAGUCCCCUCUUUCGCACCA